rnacentral:lncRNA from 1 species
AAUUUUUACUUUUUUUGGUAGUCGGAGGUGGCUCUAGUACGACGGCGGUCGGUGGUCGGCUCCCUUCUUCGACGACUGGUUCUUUUUCUCCGGCGGGGGGCUGGUGGUUAGAGUUUGGGUUCAAUGUAAUGCGAAAUAUUUAUAUUCAUCUUGCGUUAAUUUAGACCGUUUAUCGUGUUUAAUUUCGACUGUUCAAUCACGCAUAAGAAGGAAAUGAAUCUGAACCGUUCAUUACUUUUAAUCUUGACCGUCCGAUCGCGCCUAAGGAAGAAACAAAUUUAGACCGUUCAUCACGUUUGAUCGUGACCGUUCGAUCGCGACUGAUGAAGGAACGGAUCCAGAUUAUCCACGAACGAGGGAAGGCUUAUGGGUCAUCCGAUC